AAAAGAAAUCAAAAACAAAACAUCCACAACACCACCAACAACCCCCCUUCCCUUCUUCUUCUUCUUAUUCUUCUUGUUGUGUUUCUUCUUCUUUCUUCUUCUUCGUCU
rnacentral:ribozyme from 13 species